UUUAAAAAACGGUCCGAGUAAACACUUCAGCACCUACUGACACACGGACUGGAGAAUGGUCGUUUCCUAAAGAAAUGGAAUAUUAUUGGAGAGUAAUCUCUGGGGCAGAAGAGGACACUGGACAACGAGAAUCUCCGUCGCAUCCACUGGAAUAUGGCCCAGGAUUCUGAGGAAGGCCACAUCUCCACCGAAGAGGACCGUUGGACAACGAGGGUCAUCGCCAGGUAUUAUUUUAACAAUUUUAAGUGUUUAAUCGUGUUUUUUUAUGUAUGUAGGAUGGUUCACAUUACCACCGAGGUGGGCCACUAGACAAUGAGGUUCGCUGUCGGAGCCACCAGGAAUCGUCGCCCAAAAUUGUCAAGAGGCCCUCACCACCAUCGAAGAGGACGCUGGACAUCGAGGAUCGCCGCUGGAGUAGCAAGAUCGUCAUAAUGGAUGUUUCAGGUACAUGUUUUAUACGUUUAAGUGUCUAACCAUGUUUUAUUUUAUGUAUAUAGGAUGGCCAACAUCACCACCGAUGA